rnacentral:rRNA from 1 species
AACGCGUUAAGCACUCCGCCUGGGGACUACGGUCGCAAGACUAAAACUCAAAGGAAUUGACGGGGACCCGCACAAGCGGUGGAGCAUGUGGUUUAAUUCGAUGCAACGCGAAAAACCUUACCACUUCUUGACAUGGAGGUUAGAUCUUUCUUAACAGAAAGGCGCAGUUCGGCUGGACCUCACACAGGUGCUGCAUGGCUGUCGUCAGCUCGUGUCGUGAGAUGUUGGGUUAAGUCCCGCAACGAGCGUAACCCUCAUCCUUAGUUACCAGCGGGUAAUGCCGGGCACUUUAAGGAAACUGCCGGUGAUAAACCGGAGGAAGGUGGGGAUGAUGUCCAAGUCAGCACGGCCCUUUAUGGGGUGGGCUACACCAACGUCUACAA